rfam:Pteropus alecto contig51822, whole genome shotgun sequence.
GUGCUCUCUUCAACAGCACAUAUACUAAAAUUGGAAUGACACAGAGAUUAGCGUAGCCCCUAUGCAAGGAUGACACCCAAAUUUGUGAAGCAGUCCAUAUUUUU